AGAAAAAAAAAAUAAUAAUAAAGUGAUACGUGAAUUAUGUAUACAUAUAUGUAAAUUUGUUGAACAAACUGUUUUAAAGAGCGCAAACAUCAGUGAACAAUAAACAUAACAGUCCUGGAAUUCCAUAAAAUGUUAACAGAUUUAUUAUUGUUGCUGUUGCUGACAGCAAUGCUAUGUCUGCAACAGUGGACAGUAGCUUAUCGCCACAAGGCGGCCAAUUACGAACUCUUGGAUAACGAUUCCCGCUUCAUUUCAUACCAAGAUUUGAUGUCGACUUCGAAACGUUUCAACGAUCUAA